AUUCCCGCCCCCCCAAUCUUGAAACUGAGAAGACUCUGAAAAGAAAGUUUCACUCAAGGAAGAAACAUUUUGAGAUUUCCAAAAUAAUUGCAAGUUCUUCUGACCUCCAUAGUCCUUCAGAAUCCUCAUCACAAUUUAAGUGGCUUGGUUGUGUGGUUAUUUGACGUCUGCUUCUCCCAUAGGCUGAACUUUGAAAGGGCUGGACCAGGCCUGCCAGUCCUUUCAGCAGGUCUUUCUCGAGAGCUGGCAUGUGCUCGACCUUGUCCUGCCUGCUGGGGAUGCUGGUGAACCGUCUUGAGUGUGUCCCGACACUUGGAAGCCCCUACAUCAGGCACUUAGCGGGUACUUACUACAUAAAAGGAAGUCCUGCCCUAUACAAGCUCUGCUAGAUUCGGCUGGUCCCUCCUGCUACGUCGGGGUGAUGCUCAGCCC
rnacentral:lncRNA from 1 species